rnacentral:lncRNA from 1 species
AGGUCACAUAGUGUGCUUAAUAACUUUGAGAUGAUAGAAGGCCAUCUUUGCUAGCCUAUAUAUCCCAUAUUUGUCCUAUUACUAUAUAUGAUCCUAGUUCGCCCCCUUUGAGCCUUAUUUUCCAUUUUAUUUGAUUUAGUCGUGGGUGGGAACUUGGAGAUUGUUGAUGUGGGGUAGUUGGCGUUGUGGAGAUGUGUGAUUAUGAAUUAUGAAUUUUGUUCUUGAUUGGAAAAAAAUCUUAGUACCCUACAAGUCGUUGAAAAAAAGAAAAAAAGAAAAAAAAAGAAAAAAAGAAAAGAAAAGAAAAGUGAGAAAAUUGAAAAAAAUGGGUACAUAGGAUGCUUUAGAAAGUCAUAAUAUCAUGAGAAAUAAUUGUUGUGUUGUGAUGGUUUCUCGUAUUGAAAAAUCUGGUUUUAUGAGGUGGAAGAUGGUAUGGAUUAAGAAUGUUAUAAGGUUGGUGAUCGAGCUACAUUGAGGAGUAUCUUUUAGUCACUCAGCCAAAUAUAUCCCA